UGGGGAAUCUUGGACAAUGGGCGCAAGCCUGAUCCAGCCAUGCCGCGUGAGUGAAGAAGGCCUUCGGGUUGUAAAGCUCUUUUGUCAGGGACGAUAAUGACGGUACCUGAAGAAUAAGCCCCGGCAAACUUCGUGCCAGCAGCCGCGGUAAUACGAAGGGGGCUAGCGUUGUUCGGAAUUACUGGGCGUAAAGCGCACGUAGGCUGAUUGUUAAGUCAGGGGUGAAAUCCCAGAGCUCAACUCUGGAACUGCCCUUGAUACUGGCAAUCUCGAGUCCGGAAGAGGUUAGUGGAAUUCCCAGUGUAGAGGUGGAAUUCGUAGAUAUUGGGAAGAACACCAGUGGCGAAGGCGGCUAACUGGUCCGGUACUGACGCUGAGGUGCGAAAGCGUGGGGAGCAAACAGGAUUAGAUACCCCAGUAGUCCCUGAGCGGGCUGGCAAGGCGCAU
rnacentral:rRNA from 1 species